rnacentral:lncRNA from 1 species
GUCUGGCCACAGGCACAGGCACAGCAUGGCAUGUCCGGUCGUGAAAGUGGCCAUCAUUAGGAUUAAUCUUGAGUUUGAGUAUAAUUAGGUUUCGUUGUUUUCUAGUUCUAUCGUUAGGGUUUGUUGCCGUGUAUACGAGUCCGUGUGGGUCAUGAGGCCUAAUUCUACUCGGUAUAGUCUUGUGGUCAGGUGAGAAUGUGUAUAUAUACACAUCAACGGCUGCAGCUUGAAUAAAAGCUUGUAACGUGAGUUUGCAGAAAAAAAUAAAAGAGAAAAAUAGAGGGCACGAUACGAGCCCUUGUUCAAAUAAUCUUGUGAUCGUCGUGUGCGUGUGCGUCUUCAUGUGAUUGAUCUUUGGGCAAACCUAACAUUUGGUAUUAGAGCGAGGUUAAAGAUUUGAAGACGCGCUUGCCCAGGGGAGGCGAUGUGCUAGCGCCUCGGGGCGGGCAAUCAGCAGCGGAACGGUGUCCGCAGAUAAUUGCGCGCGGACUGUGGCUGUGCGUGGAGCGGCGUUCAGCGGAUUGGAUUAGGCAAUCGGUGGCUGUGCAGUGAAGCAAUGUUCAGCAGAUCAAAUAGGACUAUCGUCGCAGUGGACC